rnacentral:rRNA from 1 species
GUAGGGUGGCAAGCGUUGUCCGGAAUUAUUGGGCGUAAAGCGCGCGCAGGCGGUCCUUUAAGUCUGAUGUGAAAGCCCACGGCUCAACCGUGGAGGGUCAUUGGAAACUGGGGGACUUGAGUACAGAAGAGGAAAGUGGAAUUCCAAGUGUAGCGGUGAAAUGCGUAGAGAUUUGGAGGAACACCAGUGGCGAAGGCGGCUUUCUGGUCUGUAACCGACGCUGAGGCGCGAAAGCGUGGGGAGCAAACAGGAUUAGAUACCCUGGUAGUCCACGCCGUAAACGAUGAGUGCUAAGUGUUAGGGGGUUUCCGCCCCUUAGUGCUGCAGCUAACGCAUUAAGCACUCCGCCUGGGGAGUACGGCCGCAAGGCUG